UUGUCUUACACGAGGUGGCUUACAGAGAGUAAGACGUCAAGAAGCCGAGGAUCAACGAUUGUUCAGUGAGUGACUCGCGCCCAGCCUACUUUGGGCUUCGCGUCUGCGUGUUCCCAAUUAAUUCCCGAAGCCCUGUCAAACAGACUGGCAAAAGGCAAUGACAAGUCCUCCUCUCCUGGCCAAUCCUAUAAAAGGAUGGGCUUGGCUCAUAAACCAAUCAGAGACCCCCAAGGGGGCGGAGUUUUCUUUGGCCUGGAUCUCUGCCUGAGGGGUAAAACUAAAACGUUUCCACCUCCAGCCAAUCCCAGAGAAGGCAGGAGCGCACUCCUCCAAUGGGAGCCCGAGAGCGGUCAGUGGCCGUGGAGGCCUGCUACCCCCGCUAGCUCUCCAGCCCGCCGGAGGGACGCUAGAUCCAGCCGCCGGCCCCUUGAAUCUGCUCCCCCUCGGCAGCGGUGGCGCGGAGGGCAGGAGGUGUCUGGUGAGACGGUCAGCGGGUAUCGGAGGAUCGUGCGGGUAGCAAAGGGAUGGCGAGUGCCCCUGCAGCCCCAGACAACAACCAGAACAUGCAUCACUGUUAGAACCAUCACCCUGCAGCUAGCUUGGACACCAUUAAAAGGGCUCAUCAGCUACAAACGGAUAGAAGUGUCUGGUAUUCGUGAAGACAGAGUUUCAGGGCUACCACCUGGAGCUACACCCUCCAGCAACCCCUGCUUGGCCUCCCUGCACCCAGCCCUGCACCAGCCAGUCACAACUUGGGCUGUGUGUGGUGUUUCUUGGCAACUGGGACACAGACUCCUCCAGCAGCUCCACAGCCCCUCUUGUCCUCAGUGA
rnacentral:lncRNA from 12 species